rnacentral:rRNA from 1 species
AGCGAACGUUAGCGGCGGGCCUAACACAUGCAAGUCGAACGAGAAAAUCCCUUCGGGGGUGAGUACAGUGGCGCACGGGUGAGGAACGCGUAGGUAAUCUACCCUCUGGCGGGGGACAACACUCCGAAAGGAAUGCUAAUACCGCGUAAGACCACACCUACUACGGUAGGAGCGGUUAAAGGUGCCUCAAAGCACCACCAGAGGAUGAGCCUGCGUCCCAUCAGCUUGUUGGUAAGGUAACGGCUUACCAAGGCGAAGACGGGUAGCUGGUCUGAGAGGAUGAUCAGCCACACUGGUACUGGAACACGGACCAGACUCCUACGGGAGGCAGCAGUGAGGAAUAUUGGGCAAUGGGCGCAAGCCUGACCCAGCCACGCCGCGUGUGUGAUGAAGGCCUUCGGGUCGUAAAGCACUGUGGGGAGAGACGAAACAGCGCAUCAGGAAAUGGUUGCGCCUUGACGGUACCUCCUUAGCAAGCACCGGCUAACUCUGUG